GAUGAACGCUGGCGGCGUGCCUAAUACAUGCAAGUCGAGCGAACAGACGAGGAGCUUGCUCCUCUGACGUUAGCGGCGGACGGGUGAGUAACACGUGGAUAACCUACCUAUAAGACUGGGAUAACUUCGGGAAACCGGAGCUAAUACCGGAUAAUAUAUUGAACCGCAUGGUUCAAUAGUGAAAGACGGUUUGGCUGUCACUUAUAGAUGGAUCCGCGCCGCAUUAGCUAGUUGGUAAGGUAACGGCUUACCAAGGCAACGAUGCGUAGCCGACCUGAGAGGGUGAUCGGCCACACUGGAACUGAGACACGGUCCAGACUCCUACGGGAGGCAGCAGUAGGGAAUCUUCCGCAAUGGGCGAAAGCUUGACGGAGCAACGCCGCGUGAGUGAUGAAGGUCUUCGGAUCGUAAAACUCUGUUAUUAGGGAAGAACAAAUGUGUAAGUAACUAUGCACGUCUUGACGGUACCUAAUCAGAAAGCCACGGCUAACUACGUG
rnacentral:rRNA from 1 species